rnacentral:rRNA from 1 species
UACGUAGGGGGCGAGCGUUGUCCGGAUUCAUUGGGCGUAAAGAGCUCGUAGGCGGCUUGGCAAGUCGGAUGUGAAAACUCGAGGCUCAACCUCGAGACGUCGGCGGAAACCAUCUGGCUAGAGUCCGGAAGAGGAGAGUGGAAUUCCUGGUGUAGCGGUGAAAUGCGCAGAUAUCAGGAAGAACACCCGUGGCGAAGGCGGCUCUCUGGGACGGUACUGACGCUGAGACGCGAAAGCGUGGGGAGCGAACAGG